UGGUGGCGACCGGCGCACGGGUGAGUAACGCGUAUGCAACCUACCCUUUAGAGGGGGAUAACCCGGCGAAAGUCGGACUAAUACCGCAUAAAACAGGGGCACCGCAUGGUGAUAUUUGUUAAAAAUUUAUUGCUGAUAGAUGGGCAUGCGUUCCAUUAGGUAGUUGGAGAGGUAACGGCUCACCAAGCCUACGAUGGAUAGGGGAACUGAGAGGUUGGUCCCCCACACUGGUACUGAGACACGGACCAGACUCCUACGGGAGGCAGCAGUGAGGAAUAUUGGUCAAUGGGCGAGAGCCUGAACCAGCCAAGUCGCGUGAAGGAAGAAGGAUCUAUGGUUCGUAAACUUCUUUUGCAGGGGAAUAAAGUGCAGGACGUGUCCUGUUUUGUAUGUACCCUGAGAAUAAGGAUCGGCUAACUCCGUGCCAGCAGCCGCGGUAAUACGGAGGAUCCGAGCGUUAUCCGGAUUUAUUGGGUUUAAAGGGUGCGUAGGUGGUUUAAUAAGUCAGCGGUGAAAGUUUGCAGCUUAACUGUAAAAAUGCCGUUGAAACUGUUAGACUUGAGUGUAAAUGAGGUAGGCGGAAUGCGUGGUGUAGCGGUGAAAUGCUUAGAUAUCACGAAGAACUCCGAUUG
rnacentral:rRNA from 1 species